UACGUAGGGUGCGAGCGUUGUCCGGAUUUACUGGGCGUAAAGAGCUCGUAGGCGGUUUGUCACGUCGUCUGUGAAAACCCGAGGCUUAACCUCGGGCCUGCAGGCGAUACGGGCAGACUUGAGUACUGUAGGGGAGACUGGAAUUCCUGGUGUAGCGGUGGAAUGCGCAGAUAUCAGGAGGAACACCGGUGGCGAAGGCGGGUCUCUGGGCCGUAACUGACGCUGAGGAGCGAAAGCGUGGGGAGCGAACAGG
rnacentral:rRNA from 1 species